CUUGACGACCAUAGAGCAUUGGAACCACCUGAUCCCAUCCCGAACUCAGCAGUGAAACGAUGCAUCGCCGAUGGUAGUGUGGG
rnacentral:rRNA from 1 species